rnacentral:rRNA from 1 species
AGCAGCCGCGGUAAUUCCAGCUCCAAUAGCGUAUAUUAAAGUUGUUGCAGUUAAAAAGCUCGUAGUUGAAUUUCGAGACCGGCUUACUGGUCGUGCUAUUGUGCGUACUGGUAUAAUCGGUUUCUCCUUUCUGACGAACUAUAAUGCCAUUAAUUUGGUGUUAUAGGGAAUCAGGACUGUUACUUUGAAAAAUUAGAGUGUUUAAAGCAGGCUCACGCUUGAAUACAUUAGCAUGGAAUAACGGAAUAGGACGUUUGAUUCUAUUUUGUUGGUUUCUAGGAUCGACGUAAUGAUUAAUAGGGAUAGUUGGGGGCAUUAGUAUUCAAUUGUCAGAGGUGAAAUUCUUGGAUUUAUUGAAGACUAACUACUGCGAAAGCAUUUGCCAAGGAUGUUUUCAUUAAUCAAGAACGAAAGUUAGGGGAUCGAGGACGAUCAGAUACCGUCGUAGUCUUAACCAUAAACUAUGCCGACUAGGGAUCGGAUGAUGUUUAAUUUUUAAUGUACUCA